UACGUAGGGCGCGAGCGUUAUCCGGAAUUAUUGGGCGUAAAGAGCUCGUAGGCGGUUUGUCACGUCUGCUGUGAAAACUGGAGGCUCAACCUCCAGCCUGCAGUGGGUACGGGCAGACUAGAGUGCGGUAGGGGAGAUUGGAAUUCCUGGUGUAGCGGUGGAAUGCGCAGAUAUCAGGAGGAACACCGAUGGCGAAGGCAGAUCUCUGGGCCGUAACUGACGCUGAGGCGCGAAAGCGUGGGGAGCGAACAGG
rnacentral:rRNA from 1 species